rnacentral:rRNA from 1 species
UGCCCCUUAUGUCCUGGGCUACACACGUAAUACAAUGGCGUCCAACAACGGGAAGCAAAACCGCGAGGUAGAGCAAAUCCCCAAAAGACGUCUCAGUUCGGAUUGCAGGCUGCAACUCGCCUGCAUGAAGUCGGAAUUGCUAGUAAUCGCGGAUCAGCAUGCCGCGGUGAAUACGUUCCCGGGCCUUGUACACACCGCCCGUCACACCAUGAGAGCCGGGAACACCCGAAGUCCGUAGUCUAACCGCAAGGAGGACGCGGCCGAAGGUGGGUUUGGUAAUUGGGGUGAAGUCGUAACAAGGUAGCCGUUCGAGAACGAGCGGCUGGAUCACCUCCUUU